AUUGAACGCUAGCGGGAUGCUUUACACAUGCAAGUCGAACGGCAGCGCGGACUUCGGUCUGGCGGCGAGUGGCGAACGGGUGAGUAAUGUAUCGGAACGUGCCCAGUAGCGGGGGAUAACUACGCGAAAGCGUAGCUAAUACCGCAUACGCCCUACGGGGGAAAGCAGGGGAUCGUAAGACCUUGCACUAUUGGAGCGGCCGAUAUCGGAUUAGCUAGGUGGUGAGGUAACGGCUCACCAAGGCGACGAUCCGUAGCUGGUUUGAGAGGACGACCAGCCACACUGGGACUGAGACACGGCCCAGACUCCUACGGGAGGCAGCAGUGGGGAAUGUUGGACAAUGGGGGCAACCCUGAUCCAGCCAUCCCGCGUGUGCGAUGAAGGCCUUCGGGUUGUAAAGCACUUUUGGCGGGAAAGAAACGUCGCGGGCUAAUACCCCGUGGAACUGACGGUACCUGCAGAAUAAGCACCGGCUAACUACGUG
rnacentral:rRNA from 1 species